UACGUAGGUGGCAAGCGUUGUCCGGAUUUACUGGGCGUAAAGAGCGCGCAGGCGGUCGUUCAAGUCGCGUGUGAAAGCCCCCGGCUCAACUGGGGAGGGUCACGCGAUACUGAUCGACUCGAAGGCAGGAGAGGGUAGUGGAAUUCCCGGUGUAGUGGUGAAAUGCGUAGAUAUCGGGGAGGAACACCAGUGGCGAAGGCGACUACCUGGCCUGUUUCUUGACGCUGAGGCGCGAAAGCUAGGGGAGCAAACGGGGAUUAAGAAAC
rnacentral:rRNA from 1 species